UUCUACUUGGAGUGUACUUCAAGAUGCAGUGAAUCAAUAACCCAAAGAGGGUAAAGUGUAAAGUGUACAUGUUGCGGAUAAAGAGGUUGCAGUGGUUAUCUUAUUGAACUCCACUCCAGGAUGCAGUGCAUCACCUCAUUGGGUGAUGACUAUUCCGUUCUGCUUGGAGUGAACUUCAAGAUGCAGUGAAUAAAAAACCCAAAGAGGGUAAAGUGUUAAGUGUUAAUGUUGCGAAUAAA